UACAGGGGGUGCAAACGUUGCUCGGAAUCAUUGGGCGUAAAGCGCACGUAGGCGGUUCGUUAUGUCGGAUGUGAAGGCCCUUGGCUUAACCGAGGAAGUGCAUCCGAAACUGGCGAGCUAGAGUACGAAAGAGGAUCGCGGAAUUCCCGGUGUAGAGGUGAAAUUCGUAGAUAUCGGGAGGAACACCGGUGGCGAAGGCGGCGAUCUGGGUCGAUACUGACGCUGAGACGCGAAAGCGUGGGGAGCAAACAGG
rnacentral:rRNA from 1 species